rnacentral:lncRNA from 1 species
GUUGUUCUUCAAUUAAGUCAUGAGUUGAAAUAUAUAUAUCAACUUAAUUUUUACCAAAUAAGGGUUUCAUAAAAGUAUGGACCGUCCCUAGAACAAGUGGCAAAGAAUUUGGUGGCUGAUAUUCGAGAUCCAAAUUCGAAUUCUAGUUGAUUCAUAUUUUCAGCUAAGUUUAUUUCUAAAUAAAAUAAACGAAGCGGGUAGCGUGCUACCUAUCUCUCUCUCUCUCUCUCAAAAAAAAAAAAAAAAA